UAGGAUAUAGCGGAAAAGGAUAACGCAUUUAUUUUGGGUAUAAAAAAUUACAGGUUCGAGUCCUGUUAUCCUAA
rnacentral:tRNA from 1 species